AUUGAACGCUGGCGGCAUGCUUUACACAUGCAAGUCGAACGGCAGCGCGGGCUUCGGCCUGGCGGCGAGUGGCGAACGGGUGAGUAAUACAUCGGAACGUGCCCAGUAGUGGGGGGUAGCUCGGCGAAAGCCGGAUUAAUACCGCAUACGACCUGAGGGUGAAAGCGGGGGAUCUUCGGACCUCGCGCUAUUGGAGCGGCCGAUGGCAGAUUAGCUAGUUGGUGGGGUAAAGGCCUACCAAGGCGACGAUCUGUAACUGGUCUGAGAGGACGACCAGCCACACUGGGACUGAGACACGGCCCAGACUCCUACGGGAGGCAGCAGUGGGGAAUUUUGGACAAUGGGCGAAAGCCUGAUCCAGCAAUGCCGCGUGUGUGAUGAAGGCCUUCGGGUUGUAAAGCACUUUUGGCGGGAACGAAAAGGACUGUGCCAAUACCACGGUUCGAUGACGGUACCCGCAGAAUAAGCACCGGCUAACUACGUG
rnacentral:rRNA from 1 species